rnacentral:rRNA from 1 species
AGCAGCAGUGGGGAAUAUUGCACAAUGGGCGAAAGCCUGAUGCAGCGACGCCGCGUGAGGGAUGACGGCCUUCGGGUUGUAAACCUCUUUCAGCAGGGACGAAGCGCAAGUGACGGUACCUGCAGAAGAAGCACCGGCUAACUACGUGCCAGCAGCCGCGGUAAUACGUAGGGUGCAAGCGUUGUCCGGAAUUACUGGGCGUAAAGAGUUCGUAGGCGGUUUGUCGCGUCGUUUGUGAAAACCAGCAGCUCAACUGCUGGCUUGCAGGCGAUACGGGCAGACUUGAGUACUGCAGGGGAGACUGGAAUUCCUGGUGUAGCGGUGAAAUGCGCAGAUAUCAGGAGGAACACCGGUGGCGAAGGCGGGUCUCUGGGCAGUAACUGACGCUGAGGAACGAAAGCGUGGGUAGCGAACAGGAUUAGACCCCCU